ensembl:lncRNA LINC01206 long intergenic non-protein coding RNA 1206
AGACCUUGACAGUUGUAACCGAUAGACUGGGCUGGGGCAACGCUGAUGAAAGGCAAAUUCCUGAGAGAAAAAUCACCCAGAUUUUUCAGUGCCUUCUCUAGCUUUCUAGAAGUUGUUAUGAGUGGACCUGACUACCUAGAGAGAGUAAUACAGAAGCUCCGUGCCGAUCACAGCUACCUCAUUACCAUGUUCCUCCAAGAUGGCCGCCCCUGAGGAGAAUCAUCAACUGGGCUUUACGGAAGAGAGAAAUCCAAACGACCAUCAGCAACAAAUGAAAGACUGAAGUUGAAAGGCAAGUCUUCAGAUUUGAAGAAAUCCAUAAUUUUUGAAUGCUGGCCGAGGUCUGUGACCUCUGACUGAAUGGUUUCCAAGCUCCGAAUUCCUAGGUGAUGUUUUCAUUUGUUCACACUUGCUGAAGAAGGGAAAGGCUCUCUGAUUUACGUGUAAGCAAAACAAUCUAAACAGUAGGAUAAAAUCAUGUUGGAAUGGAGUUCUGUGUGGAUGCUCCUUUGAACCAAAUCAGUUCCACAACUGACCCUGUCAGGGACAUAUAAAUUUAGCAUUUUGGUGUGGAUACAGAAGACGAGAUUAACACAGAUCAAGUAACAUGGAAAUAAAAAAGGAGACAAUGCUGGAUGAUACAGGGGCAGCCAACAAGAGGAGAAAACCCAAGCAUUGGCAAAUGCCUCAUUAUCCAAAGAACACUGAGGUGUGGAGCAAAACUGUGUUGAAUGAACUGUAGAUGGAAAUUCUCUCCUUCCCACCGAGGAGCCGCUGCAGGUUGCAGACUCCCAGAAUGCCACACUGAGAAGAGGAGGGCUAAAAUUCUAGAGCAGAAUCCCUGGGGCAGCCCCUGCUGAAGAAGGGUGCAUCUGUUGAGAAUCUCAUCACCGCCCCCACCCCGCCCAGCCUUCAAUUUAGAGGAAUUUCUAGUUCACGCAGAAUGAAGACAAGAUCACAUAAGUGAGGACGACGCCCCAUUUACAAGUGUGAUUUGGAAGACUGAAGUGGAAACCUUGGGAAGGGGCCUCAGAGUAUGUCAGCUGGGGUCAGACGGGAACAGGAGUCUGGCUCAACACACAUUUAUUGCACUCCUGUUUCAUGCCAAGAAAUGUACCAAAAUCUGGGACUGUGUAACACAGCAAAGGAAAAGACUCAUCUCCAGGAAGCCCCCUUGUCUAGGAAGAGAAAUUGAAUAUCAGCAUAAGGUGGUGAAAAGCUGUGAAGGAGAUGAGUGCCAGGAGUCCAUGGAGGAAGGAUUCUAGCCUGGACAGGUGAGGAAUGGCUUUCUGGAAGAAGCAGAUGCCCCAGCUGAACUUUAAAAUGCCCAUGUGAAAUGAACUGUCUGUAUCUUCAAUCAGCAAAUGGAGUAGGUGGCCACUGUUUAAUUCUGGAAUGGGGAAGUGUAAAGGUGUGGUGUGUGUGUUUACCCCUACUUAGGGAUUCAAAACAGACAGUAAAGAACAAAAGUCUAGCCCUUUGAGCAUUCUCCAUGGGACAUUUGAGGUCUAGCUGGCCCCAGAGAAAGAGAGACAGAAGCAAGGUCAUAUCCAUUUGAGAAAAUCAAAGUGUCUGCUCCAAUUGA